rnacentral:misc_RNA from 1 species
GAUGAAGAACGUAGCGAAAUGCGAUAAGUAAUGUGAAUUGCAGAAUUCAGUGAAUCAUCGAAUCUUUGAACGCACAUUGCGCCCCCCAGUAUUCUGGCGGGCAUGCCUGUUCGAGCGUCAUUUCAACCAUCAAGUCCUGCUUGUGUUGGGGUCCUGCGGCUGCCCGCAGGCCCUGAAAACCAGUGGCGGGCUCGCUAGUCACACCGAGCGCAGUAGCACAUCUCGCUCAGGGCGUGCGGCGGGCUCCAGCCGUUAAAGCACCCACCUUUCGCAAGGUUGACCUCGGAUCAGGUAGGAAUACCCGCUGAACUUAAGCAUAUCAAUAAGCGGAGGA